UAGAACAUUAAGAUCAGAUUUCUUGAUCCACAUUUGGACCACUUUAGAACUCUUCUUCCAUGUUCUGCUGGUCUUAUCAGCAUUCUGUCCUGGAGCUGUCUUCUGUCUGUUUCUGUUGUUAGCAUACUGCCAGUGAGCUGACUUCCUUCCCCAGCUUGCUGAUUGAGAAUUCUUCAUUGGACAAUUAUUAGCAAGAUGGCCCUUCUUUCCACACUUGUGACAAGUCACCCAAGGCAUGGCAUAAUUGUAUGGAAU
rnacentral:lncRNA from 1 species